GAUGAACGCUGGCGGCGUGCCUAAUACAUGCAAGUCGAGCGAAUGGAUUAAGAGCUUGCUCUUAUGAAGUUAGCGGCGGACGGGUGAGUAACACGUGGGUAACCUGCCCAUAAGACUGGGAUAACUCCGGGAAACCGGGGCUAAUACCGGAUAACAUUUUGAACCGCAUGGUUCGAAAUUGAAAGGCGGCUUCGGCUGUCACUUAUGGAUGGACCCGCGUCGCAUUAGCUAGUUGGUGAGGUAACGGCUCACGAAGGCAACGAUGCGUAGCCGACCUGAGAGGGUGAUCGGCCACACUGGGACUGAGACACGGCCCAGACUCCUACGGGAGGCAGCAGUAGGGAAUCUUCCGCAAUGGACGAAAGUCUGACGGAGCAACGCCGCGUGAGUGAUGAAGGCUUUCGGGUCGUAAAGCUCUGUUGUUAGGGAAGAACAAGUGCUAGUUGAAUAAGCUGGCACCUUGACGGUACCUAACCAGAAAGCCACGGCUAACUACGUGCCAGCAGCCGCGGUAA
rnacentral:rRNA from 1 species